CUUCAGUGACCCCAGCCAGAGCGGCUGUUCCGCCGAGUGCUCCCGGCCGUACGUCGCCAGCAGGGCCUGUGCCUC
rnacentral:antisense_RNA from 1 species